rnacentral:rRNA from 1 species
UACGUAGGGUGCGAGCGUUAAUCGGAAUUACUGGGCGUAAAGCGUGCGCAGGCGGUUUUGUAAGCCAGAUGUGAAAUCCCCAGGCUUAACCUGGGAAUGGCAUUUGGGACUGCAAGGCUGGAGUGUGGCAGAGGAGACUGGAAUUCCUGGUGUAGCAGUGAAAUGCGUAGAUAUCAGGAGGAAUACCGAUGGCGAAGGCAGGUCUCUGGGCUGACACUGACGCUCAUGCACGAAAGCGUGGGGAGCAAACAGG